GUUCCCGUCUGUAGCCUUCCUGGUAGAACUUUAAAAGCAAAGCAAAACUUCCGAGGUAGCAGGAAUCUGCAUGGCGCUGACCGGGACAGACACAAUGCAGCUUUAUUGGCCUCUAGCCGGGCAAACACACGAGGAUACACUUCACCAAUAACGCUAUAGUUUCACUUCACAUUGACGGUUUUUCAAGGUCAUAUAGUCUACAGCAUAUAAAAAAGGAAAAAGGGUGUUACCUGAGGUCUCCUGAGGUGUAAUAGUCUCAGUGGCUUGCUUUGUGUCCUUUCGGAGGGUGCUCUUCUGUUCAGUGUGUGUUAAGGCCUAUGAGAUUGGUCUGCAAGGUUUCUUAGCAGCUUUCUUU